UGUCAGGGAGUAAAACUACAGCACACCCUCACCACAGCCUUUAGCAAUGAAUAGACUAUAAAGAAUGCUCCCAGGAGGUGCUAGCUGGUUAGGGGUGACGUAGAACUCAGGUGACUGAGCCUAUUAAUUCCCAUGUUCCCCUACCACAACCUCCUAAAGUACUAGCAUUUCUAUUACACAUUUUUAAGAAACAGGACCAAAGUUAUCCCCACAUUGGUAAAUUGUAAAUCAAAUACCGUUAAGGUUAUUUCACGGGGUAGGGGGAGAGGGAAACAACAACAACAAAAACAUGCAAAAAAAAACUUAUGUGUUUUGAGUCUUGAUAACAAUAUCUUGAUAACUGUUUCUUGUCCUGCCUAUGCUUAAAACUUUCCCAUCUGCCUAGAUACCCUAGCAUGUGAACAUAUGCACAGGUAGCAGAGAGGCCACACGCAUCUGAGUGCAUGUGCUGGUGACCAGAGAGCUGCUGUAUUUUCUCCCUGAAUUAACUGCUCUUGAAAACAGUGCUACAGCAGUGUACAGUGGGAGACUUUACUGAAAGACUGCUGAAAUCCAAGGCCUACAUCUAUAGGGUUGUACGGAUCAAUACUUUAUGCUUGUGUCAGCAGUGUCAUAGAAACAAGUUGCCCUGGAGAUACCCCAGCUUCUCUGAUGAGCGUUCACCCGUGGAGCAGCUCUUUUGGAACCCUCCCGAGAACAAUUCUCUGCUUUCUGUUGCCAUCAUUCUUCAUGUCUUGCUCACAGAAGCUAAUGUGGGUAUAGCACAUGUGAGUACCUAUGCUGCACAGAGUUGAGUUGAACAUAUGACUGCAGGAUAUUGUUUCACAUCAUGCAAGUCAACAGGGAUCCUGGAGUAAAUUCAAUUGUAACAGGACCAGGGUUUGAAGAAUGCCACUAUCCAGCCACACACAGCAUGGAACGAUAUAUGAGUUGACAGCAGAUGUAGAUGGAUGUCUCUUCAGUACUAUCAUUUGAACAAGCUACUCUGGCCAUGAGACUUCUGUUCCUCUGCCAGUCACAGGCACGAAGUAUAGAUACUCCCAU